rnacentral:lncRNA from 1 species
UCAAUUAUUGUUCUUAUCUUCUAUUAUUUCUAUCAUGGUAUCAGAGCCGCUUGCCUAGAGCAAGCUCUCUUCUCGCUGCCAAUUCAUCAUUGGUGUUGCCACUCUGCGCCAACGUCCGUUCCCUUCCGCUACGGCAUCUCUAGUGCUGCUCAUCAGUACUGCCCCACCUUUCUUCCUCGUUGUAGCUAUUUUCCUUCCUCUUCUGCUAUAGCUUCCUCUUCUACUACAGCUUCCUCCUCUGUUGCAGUUUCCUCCUUUGCUGUAGUAGCAUCACUGCAACAUUGCUGUAGAUUUCUUCUCUACCGUCGCAGCCGUAACAGCAACAGCGAUCUACACUUAUCUUACUCAUGAAGCCUCUCGCUUGUAAACAAUUCUUUGCAUCGAUCCAAGAUUGGUAUCCUUGUCAGGAGCACCAUCUUGCGGGGGCAUGAUAGAAGAUAAGAUUUUCCUAACUAUAUGAGGAAAUUUCUCUAUUCUGUUGAGGAAAAUCCUCUAUUCUGUUAGGGAAAUCCUUCCUCCUAAUUCCUAUAAAUAGGAGAGGGAACAUGUUAAUAGAUUCAAGCUAAAGCUAUUUCAUUUCUACAAUAAAGCUUCUUCAAUUAUUGUUCUUAUCUUCUAUUAUUUCUAUCACAUUUGGUUAUCUAUCUGAUUUUUUUUUUUUUUUGCAAUUUCACAUCUAUAUGAUUUGAUAUAUUUUAUAUCAUACAUGCAGAUUGUGUCUUUUUAACGUUAUCUAUCUUAAUUACUGUAAUAUUAAAUUUACAUGCAAGCAUUGAAAUAUGAUAGUUACAGCAUUUAUCUAUUUUUAAUAAUUAUUUAUAAAUACCUUCUGUUGUAAG